UUUUUGUAUACUGGUGUGUGUCGUUUGAUUGGGUUUAUUGCUUUGGCAUCGUCAGUUAUUUUAAGACUCAUGAAUUUGAUUAUUAUACACUUAAAAUGUAUUUAUGCUGCUUUUAGUUUCAAUAGUACCAGAAUUUAAUGGAACUGUACUAUUUAAUUACAUUUUUAUGAAAUGAUGAAUUAUGGUUGACGCUACCAGCUGUGAUGAAAUGCGGCACUGAGAUAAUUAAGUACACCGUGUACAGAGAGGUAUUCGCACUUUUAAGAAAAACAACUAUUAAAUGACGUCUGUACGAAAUCACAUAACAGCAAACAUAACACAUGUAUGUAUGCAUCGAAAUAACAAACAUUAGUGUUAUGUCUCAUAUUCGACCUUUUCAAAGUUGUAAAACCAAAACAUAUCAAUGUCGUCGUUGACAUUUCAUUAAGUAUUCUUUUAAAGUUUUUCAGUACUCAAUGUAUAUAUAUACACAUGCAUGGAAAAAAGAAUGGCAACACCAAAUUGAAAUUGAAAUUAAAAAAAAACCUCUUUAUUUUUUUGUGAUAUAAUUUGUUAAAAUAGAACUAGUUAAACAUUAUUUAAAUAUCACCUGAGUUUAAUCAACAAAUAUCGACUCGAUAAAUUCUUAUCUGCACAUGCAGCUACUGUACCCGUAAACAGCAAAACAGAUGUUUUUAUCCUCAUUGUUUUCAACACUUUCAAAAACCAAGUUUAUAAAGUUAUGUGAUUGACACCUUGUAAUUGGUCCUCCACAACUCUAAACUGCAGCAAUAUGGCAGAUUAUCAGCAUGAGAGAAGCAGGAAUGUCGCUGUGACAACCGCACGUAUUGUUGGUCAUCACCAUUCCACUAUAAGUCGUUUUGAGAAUAAAAAUCAGGCAAUGAACGAUGUUAAAGACCUUCCAAGGUCAAGAAGACCCCCUAUACCAUCUGCUAGGGAAAAAUAAAGCAUAAUGAAAGUUUGUCAGAAGGAAACCCAUUGCAUACAAUACAAUCCUAAAAAGAGAGUGGUGGGCAAACGGUAGCCUUUUAACAAGAACUGUUCGAGAUCGACUCAUCGCUACUGGUUAUUGUGCGAUAAGACCAUUUUGGGGACCUUUGUUUACGAACAGACACACAGUUGUCCGUAUCCAAUGUAGUGCAGAGCUCGUCAAAGUUGGAAAUUAGCAUCGUGGAGGAAGAUCCAUUGUUCCAAUUGAAUUCGAUUCAUCUUCCUUGGCCCGAUCGUAGUCCGUAUUUGAACCAUAUCGAGCAUAUAUGGGACACUAUGUGGCGUAAGGUGCGCGAAAGGACACUUCAGUUCAAACACGUCAUAAAAUAAACAAUGCCUUUCAUCAAAAAUGGUUGCUGCAACCUUAGCAACAAAUUAGUUGAUUUAUGCAGGAAUCAGAAGACGUUCAGAGGCGGUUGUCCGUUUGAAUGGAGGCUGCGCAGAAAGUUCUGAUUCUUUGGCGUAUAACGA
rnacentral:lncRNA from 1 species